rnacentral:rRNA from 1 species
ACGCGAAGAACCUUACCCAGGCUUGAACAGCGAGUGACAAACUACGAAAGUGGUCUUCCGCAAGGACACUCGUAGAGGUGCUGCAUGGCUGUCGUCAGCUCGUGUCGUGAGAUGUUGGGUUAAGUCCCGCAACGAGCGCAACCCUUGUCUUCUGUUGCCAUCAGGUCAAGCUGGGCACUCUGGAGAGACUGCCGGUGAUAAACCGGAGGAAGGUGGGGAUGACGUCAAGUCAGCAUGGCCUUUAUGUCUGGGGCUACACACGUGCUACAAUGGCCGGCACAAACCGUCGCGAGCCCGCAAGGGGGAGCUAAUCGGAGAAAGUCGGUCUCAGUUCGGAUCGUCGGCUGCAACUCGCCGGCGUGAAGUUGGAAUCGCUAGUAAUCGCGGAUCAGCACGCCGCGGUGAAUACGUUCCCGGGCCUUGUA